ensembl:lncRNA
CCAGCCGACUGGGUUGUGUCCCCUCUGGGGCAGAGGGAACCUGAGGGCAAAUGCCCUGGGAGGCACGUGUGACCAUCCUGAGAAUCAGUCUAGGACAAUCCUCCCGAGGAGACUCCUGGGUCUCACGUCCCUCUGCGUCCUGAACAGACAGGGAGAGAGUACCGGGAGGAGAGUCAGGACUCCUGGGGAAGAGGGCUCUCUGAGGGUGACAGCAAGCAUCUCUCAGGGUUCUGGGGUCUCUGCCUGGACAGAAGGCCCAGGACCUGCCUGCACACCUGUCCUGCAGAGGGCUCUCCUCGUUUCUCCUGUGUUUCUGCAGAUGGGGUCCAGGGGGCUGAAAAAUUGGUUGUCAAAAAAGAGAAGAUCUCUUAUGAUCCUACAAAGAUGCACUCUAUCCAGCUUUCCUGAAGAAUUUGUUGGGAAAUGGUGGAAAGAGGACAGCCCAGAGACACUAAGGAGCUCAGCCAAGGUCACACAGCCAUUUAGGUUCCUGCCUUUUGGCCCCGUUGCUCUUUCGACAGCAUCUUACGCAACUUACACCCUGGUUGGAGGUGCAGGAAAGGCACCUGUGGAACAAUUACAGAACUCUCAUGGGGAGGAGACUUCCCCUUGCUGGUGAUUUCCCACCCACAGUGGGCUUGUUGCCAGUGUUUUUAUGCUGUUUACUUAUUAUAUGCUUGUCUGGGGGGAGGGGUUGUAAUUUUCUUUUGAGACACUGGAAAAUCCCACAAUUUAAAAAAAUUCAGUGAAAUCUAAUUCCUAUAUUUUUG